UACGUAGGGGGCAAGCGUUGUCCGGAUUUAUUGGGCGUAAAGAGCGUGUAGGCGGCCAGGUAGGUCAGCUGUGAAAACUCGAGGCUCAACCUCGAGACGUCGGUUGAAACCACCUGGCUAGAGUCCGGAAGAGGAGAGUGGAAUUCCUGGUGUAGCGGUGAAAUGCGCAGAUAUCAGGAAGAACACCCGUGGCGAAGGCGGCUCUCUGGGACGGUACUGACGCUGAGACGCGAAAGCGUGGGGAGCGAACAGA
rnacentral:rRNA from 1 species